GUGCUCGCUUCGGCAGCACACGCACUAAACUUGGAACGAUACAGGGAAGGUUAGCAUGGCCCCUGCCCAAGGAAGACAUGCAAAUUCUUGAAGCGUUCCGUAUUUUC